AGCUUUGUUUGAUGAGAUGCCUGAGAUGAAUAUGGUUUCAUGGAGUGUAAUGUUAAAUGCUUAUUCAAAAGCCGGGUUUAUUGAUUUGGCUAAAGUGGUGUUUCAGAGGAUCCCAUAUAAAGAUGUGGUUUCGUGGGGUAUUAUAAUUCAUGGUUAUGUUCGAGUAGGGAAUUUAAGUGAAGCUUUCAUGAUGUAUCGAUUGAUAGUAUCUACAGGGUUGGGACCUAAUGAUGCUAUGAUGGUCGAUUUGAUUUCUGCAUGUGGAAGAACAAUGGCGAUUGUCAAAGGUCAGCAAUUACGCAGUACUAUUGUGAAGAUGGGUUUUGACUGUUAUGAUUUUAUAGAGGCAACUGUUACCCUUUUUUAUGCAGCUUGUGGCAUGAUUAAUGAGGCUUGUUUGCAAUUUGGAAUGGGUAGCAAGGACAAUGUAGCUUCUUGGAAUGCUCUCAUUGCAGGAUUUAUACGGAAUAGAAUGAUUGAUCAGGCAA
rnacentral:misc_RNA from 1 species